GCCAUUACUGUUAAUCACGGCCAUCGACUGCUGCUGCUUUGGGUUUAGAAGACGGCACACUUCUGCUGGAUGGUAAAGAUGUAAACCAACAACAUUGUCAGAAUGAAGUUCAAAGAAAUAUAUUUUUUUCUUCAAAACCUUUUACAUUUCAAAUGUUUUGGGAACGUGAAAAAGCCCUUCCUGUAGUUUAAAGGAAGAAUCUGCGAAGAGAAUCAUCUCCCUAUUCCUAUGCUUGGUUGACCCCAGGAGCAAGUUU